rnacentral:tRNA from 1 species
GGCACCGUGGCCUAAUGGUAAGGCGUUGCUUUCCGGUUUUGAGGAGUAUGGCAAAGAUUGUGGGUUCGAGUCCCAUCGGUGUCG